UACGGGGGGAGCAAGCGUUGUUCGGAUUUACUGGGCGUAAAGGGCGCGUAGGCGGCGCAACAAGUCACUUGUGAAAUCUCCGGGCUUAACUCGGAACGGUCAAGUGAUACUGUUGUGCUAGAGUGCGGAAGGGGCAACUGGAAUUCUCGGUGUAGCGGUGAAAUGCGUAGAUAUCGAGAGGAACACCUGCGGCGAAGGCGGCUCACUGGCCCGGAACUGACGCUGAUGUGCGAAAGCGUGGGGAGCAAACAGG
rnacentral:rRNA from 1 species